AGCGAACGCUGGCGGCAGGCCUAACACAUGCAAGUCGAACGGACCCUUCGGGGUUAGUGGCGGACGGGUGAGUAACACGUGGGAACGUGCCUUUAGGUUCGGAAUAGCUCCUGGAAACGGGUGGUAAUGCCGAAUGUGCCCUUCGGGGGAAAGAUUUAUCGCCUUUAGAGCGGCCCGCGUCUGAUUAGCUUGUUGGUGGGGUAAUGGCCCACCGAGGCUACGAUCAGUAGCUGGUCUGAGAGGAUGACCAGCCACAUUGGGACUGGGACACGGCCCAAACUCCUACGGGAGGCAGCAGUGGGGAAUCUUGCGCAAUGGGCGAAAGCCUGACGCAGCCAUGCCGCGUGUAUGAUGAAGGUCUUAGGAUUGUAAAAUACUUUCACCGGUGAAGAUAAUGACUGUAGCCGGAGAAGAAGCCCCGGCUAACUUCGUGCCAGCAGUCGCGGUAAUACGAAGGGGGCGUAGCGUUGCUCGGAAUUACUGGGCGUAAAGGGAGCGUAGGCGGACAUUUAAGUCAGGGGU
rnacentral:rRNA from 1 species